UCAGCAGCAGGCCAGCUGCAAAGAGCUCCUUUUCUCCCUGACUCUCAGCUGAUCGGUGGGUGUGUGGGUGGGCAGGCCUUCCAGGGAGGACUCCGUGUAGGCCUCAGUGAAGCCUGAACUGGAGUAGGCUUGCAGGGAGGCCCCAAGCAAGCAAGCAAGCAAGGAGGCAGGGAGGCAGAGUGGGCCCCCCAGGUCUCUGCAGCAGACCCUCUGCCCAGCCCAGCAUUUGCCAGGAAACCAUACGCAUCAGCAAAUUACAAGAGCACACCAAAGGAACCGGAGUCUUUACCUGAUCCAUCUGGAAUUGACCUUACAAAUGUAGGCAGCAUCUUCACUGAGGCUGUUGGGUUGAAAUCCCUGGAAAGCCCACUCUGCAUCUCUCUCCUGAAGCGAGCCAUAACAUCCAUCAGCGUUUCAUCAGAGAGCCGCAUGGCAUACAGAUAUUUAUCAAUCUGAGGAGUAGGGGCAAUGGAGUUUGCUUCCUCGUGGUUGAAGCCAGCAUGGAGGUUUCUCUUAUGGAGUAAAAGAAAGGAUUGCAGGAAGCUUGAUUCUCCUCAGGAACUGGAAACUGAUAUUUAUCAACUCUGGGGAGACCAGGACAAAGCUACACCAUUACAUGAAAUGUGAGAAAACAGGAAACAGUUCCCAGGAAUGACAGAGUAUAAAACCUGCCCACUUGCUGCGCUGUGAUUGGCUGUUCAAGAAGAGCUCGGCGGCAUCGGAAAGAAACGUUUGCCCAGCCGCCGACUGAUGGACAACAAUCUCUUGCCGUCUAUGUGCAGGAAGAGGAGGAGGAGGUCCAUGUGGCCAUCUCAGAAAGGCAGGCAUCCGUGCACGUUCCUCACGUCCAUGAUGCUUCGUAACGCGUGAAGAAGUCGUCGCUCCAGCUUGCCGAGGAAAGACAAUAUGAUAACCAGCCGGCUUUGAUCACUGCACCGUAAACGGCAAGCCUUGAAUUGAAGUCGUAGCAGUGGAAUUGAGCGGAACGACCCGUAUCUCCAGCUAUUACCAGACAAUGAUGUCUGCUGAGCAAUGUGGGUGGUGCCCAAGUCGCUGUCAUGUGACCCAUCGACGAGCCCUCCGGUGAUACAGCAUCCUUACUCUUCCCCCGCCCGGCGGCGGGAACUAGAACCAGUAUUUGCAUCACGGACGGUCAAAUAUGCGACUUUCUGUGGUAACCGGUAAUAAAGAACACGUGUGCUGUGACCCCGUUGGAUUAGGCAGGCAGAAAGCGCUCGAAAAAUAUCAAACCACGGCCUGGCCUACUACACAUGCAGGAGAAUUAGGUGAUACCACUUCAGACUGUGGGGCCAAACACAGUUACAGAAUUACUCCUGAAGUCUACCUGAAUCAGCUUCCUUGUCAUUUCAACCAGUUUGUUCUAGUUUUGCCUCAGGAGCAAGAGCAAAGUCCAGUAUUUAAGAGAGCACCUUCUUCUCCAUGAGCCCCAUCGCCCAUUGAGAUCAUCACCUGGUGAGGUCCAUCUGCAGUUGUCACCAAGGGAGGAGCCUUCGCAGAUGUUGUUCCCUGCAGCUCUGGAAUGCACCCCCUGUUGAGAUAAGAGGCUCCCCAUCUGUGGCAGCUUUUUAAAAGUUCCUGAAGGCUUAUCUUUUCACCCAGGCUUUUUAAUUGAGCUGUGGUUUUAAAUUGUUUUAAGGUUUUUACUUUUUUGUUUUGACUUGUUUUAUGUUCCAGAGAUGGAAGUUUGUGGCAGUAUACAAAUUUGAUAAAUAAAUUAUAGAUAUUUGUGACAGCCCUUCAGAUAUUUGAAGAGGGCUGUCUUAUUUCCCUGCAGUCUUCUGUUCUCCAAGCUAAGCAUUCCAAGCUACAUUAACUGUUUCUCAGAGGACAGUUUCCAGACCCUUCACCAUCUUUGUUGCCCUCCUGUGAACCCACUCCCAUUAAUUAAUGUCCUUAAAAUGAGGAUCGCAGAACUAGAUAUUUAGAACUUGGGUGCUUGAAAGGAGAACAUGGUAAUAAUCCUUCAAGGCCAGAAUAUUUUUUAUCUAUAGCCCUUUUAAGUCAAGAUUAUAAAAUUUGAACUACUAUUAUAGCAAAUAAUUUAAACAAUAUUAUAAGCAAAUAUAUAGUUGAGGAUCAGACAGUAUUUCUUGAAAAUCAAAAGUUUUCAUUGAACAUACUUCAAUAUUACUCAUGAAACUUGAAUAUCUAGAAUAUCGUUCAAGAUAAAAAUUUUGGAUGCCAAGAUGCUUUUGACCACAUAGAAUGGCCAUAUAUAUAUAUCUAUUACUUUUGUCCAAAGAUUUCAUUUGCUUAUGCUCGGGAAUGAAAGAUUCCAAAACAUGUAACCAUAUACUUUAUUAUGGUACAUUACAGAGACUUAAUUAUUAUGCUGUAUAUUUUAACAUGUCAGGGUUUGUUUUGUUUUUGUUAUUCAUAUAUGUUAUUAACCAGUCUUGUAAUGUAUUUAUUAUUAAUGUCAUUUUCUAAAAAUUUGAAAAUAAACAUACACUAAAAAAAGGG